AAUAAAACGUGAAGGAUAACGUUGCGUCAGCAACGGCCCGUAGGGCGAGGCGAAGCCGAGUCAUCCUGCACGACCCACCA
rnacentral:sRNA from 9 species